rnacentral:rRNA from 1 species
UAGAGUUUGAUCAUGGCUCAGGAUAAACGCUGGCGGCGUGCCUAAUACAUGCAAGUCGAACGAGGGCGGCCAAGCUUGCUUGGCCAAACGAGUGGCGAACGGGUGAGUAACACAUAAGCAACCUGCCCACGGAGACCGGGAUAAUCUCUGGAAACGGGGACUAAAACCGGAUAGGUAGCACAGCCGCAUGGUAGUGCUAUUAAAGGUGAGAGACACUGGUGGAUGGGCUUAUGGCGCAUUAGCUAGUUGGUGAGGUAAAGGCCCACCAAGGCGAUGAUGCGUAGCCGGCCUGAGAGGGUGAACGGCCACAUUGGGACUGAGACACGGCCCAGACUCCUACGGGAGGCAGCAGUAGGGAAUUUUCGGCAAUGGGGGGAACCCUGACCGAGCAACGCCGCGUGAACGAUGAAGUCUUCGGAUUGUAAAGUUCUGUUGUACGGGAAGAACGGUAUGGAGAGGAUCCAUAAGUGACGGUACCGUACCAGAAAGCCCGGCUAACUACGUGCCAGCAGCCGCGGUAUACGAGUGCGAGCGUAUCCGGAAUAUUGGGGUAAAGGUGCGUAGGGUCUGUUCGUUCUGGUUAACGCUGUGGGGCUCAACCCCAUAAAGCCACGGAUACUGGCAGACUAGAGUACUGGAAAGGGCAGUGGAAUUCCAUGUGUAGCGGUAAAAUGCGUAGAUAUAUGGAGGAACACCGGUGGCGAAGGCGGCUGCCUGGACAGAGACUGACGCUGAGGCACGAAAGCGUGGGGAGCAAAUAGGAUUAGAUACCCUAGUAGUCCACGCCGUAAACGAUGGAUACUAAGUAUUGGGGCAACUCAGUGCUGCAGUUAACGCAAUAAGUAUCCCGCCUGUGGAGUAUGCACGCAAGUGUGAAACAUAAAGGAAUUGACGGGGGCCCGCACAAGCGGUGGAGUAUGUGGGUUUAAUUCGACGCACGCGAAGACCUUACAGGCCUUGACAUCCCGUGCAAGGUAUAGAGAUAUCCGGAGGUUACCAAGGUGACAGGUGGUGCAUGGUUGUCGUCAGCUCGUGUCGUGAGAUGUUGGGUUAAGUCCCGCAACGAGCGCAACCCUUGUCUUCAGUUACCAAUAUCAAGUUAGGGACUCUGGAGAGACUGCCGGUGAUAAACCGGAGGAAGGUGGGGAUGACGUCAAGUCCUCAUGGCCCUUACGGGCUGGGCUACACACGUACUACAAUGGCGAAUACAAAGGGAAGCAAGCGUGCGAACGCAAGAUCCAUGGCCGCAGAGA